ACAACAGCUUCAGCCUGUAGUCGCAGUGGAGACUUGCGCCGGGCGUCCCGUCGCCGCCCGCCGCACACCGCACCACGCCUCCACCACUCACUCGACCUCCCGUCCUGGAGGAAGAGCCCCCUCCCCCCCACACCCUAGUCAGCUGACGUCACCGAGCGCCAGCCUCCUAGCCCUGACUCACCGCCGGGCUGCAGCUAGUCAUCCACCAUCUAGUCUACCAGGGCCCCCACCCACCUCUCGGGUAGAGCUUCCUGACGCCGCCCGCAGCCCUCGGAUGCAGCUUACAACAUGAGCCUUCUAGUCUCCAUCAUGGGUCGAGGCUCCGGUGGGCGCGGGUCGGCGGGGCUGCAUCUAGGGGAGGGAGUGAGUAUGCUGUCACCGCCGCCGCCUGACAGCCCCGCCCAGAGCCCCCCGCGCCCUGGACCCACUCGACCUUAUGCCACAUGGCACUCCUUCACUCGUCCCUCCACACCUACCCAGGCUUGCCCUGUGGCGCACUGGAGGAGUGGAUGACGCCUCGCAUCUAGUCGUCGCCUGUCAAGAGUCUGUAGGAUAAGGAAGAGGACCCCUGAGUCACGCCGAGCAAGACUUGCUGGAUCAGCCAGUUCUCGGCUUCAGAGGUUCGCCACUCUAGUCAUCGCCUACCUUUAGAGGACGAGUCUCCCACGAGCCGCCCACACCAGCUGAAGUCACUGCUGCGAUUCUCCGCCCUCAUUAAUGCUUCUUUCAGUGUCAGUAUUAUCCCGUGGUUAGUAUUUACUUCCCAUUGUCAUCAGUAUUACCCUGGUCAGUAAUGUCACAUUGUACCAACCUUCCCCAGUAUUAAUCCCACCAGCAGUUCAGUAUUACUUUAGUUUUUAGGUUCCUGCAGUAUUAUGCAUAUACCUUGCAGCUUUCCUCGAUCUCCUUCAAAACACAAAGCCAAAGAUUUAGAAGUAAAGGAUCCUUUAGGAUAACGCUUAGAAACACCAAAGAAUCCAUCAAAUAUUGAAGGUUCCUUUUGGACCUUCUCUUUUAGUCUCUCUCACCAAAGACUUAGUACCAAGUUCGAGUAAUCUUUACCGCUGCACAGUAUUAUAGUGACCUUACAGCGUGUCCUGGCUGCUGAGGUCGUUGCUGCACCACAAGACCCCUUUUCAAGUUUCCUUCUAAGCUAAAUUUACCUUCACUGCACCAAACUAAUGCAAUAUAUCUAAAUUUGUAGCUUCCUUUCGAAAGCCUCACGUAGUUGCCAGUCUUGUCAGUAGUUGUUUUGUCACCCUAGCUUCAUUUUGGUCCUUCUGGUUCCCCUCACGGGCUUUUGUUUCCUCGCACCAAAGGCACAGGGAAAGGCAACUUCCCUCCCGUCAAGGGUCUUACAGCACCAUACCAAAGGUUUUCUUAGCUUGGGUUCACCAAGACUCCCCCUUUAUUUGUAUCUCAAUCUUUUACACAACCAAUGAUAGAUAUUAGGUGUCUUAGUUUUAGUUAAUUUAUUUAAUGUUUAUUUUUAAAGCUACUUUACCUGUUAACACACCAAAGAUCUCACUAGGUUAACUAUCUUAUCAAAAACUAAAAAGAAAAAAAAUGAGUUACAGCUACUAACCAAAAAUGUAUUACUACUAGUCAGGUAUUUUGUUCUAGUUAUUUGCUCACAUUCUAGUCGACAACCCCAAAGAUCUCAUUGAGUCAUGUGCGCUAGUCGGCACUUGGCACCAAUUAGCUUGUAAGAACAUCUGUACCUGUGUGUGUGUGAGAGUGACAGUGAGUGUGUGAGUGAGUGUUGGCUUACUGAUCUCUGUACUGCUGAGUUGGGGGUGCCGCGUGCUGCUGUGCUGCGGCGAGAAACUGAGGCUCUCCUGCACACACCCAGCACUUGGCCCCUCCCUCGGCAAUCACUUGGUUACCUGGCCGUCUAGUCACCCUUGAUCUCCUCGUACCGUACCUGGCAUCAGUAUUACGUCUCUGUAACGAUCUAGUCAUAUAUAAAUAUUUUUCUACAAACCAAAGAGACUUAUAGUUACUGUAUAUAUAUAUUUAUGAAAUAAAUAUCUAAAAACACCAA